UUUUUUUUUUUUUGCCACAGCCUCAUUCUUUCCCUGAGACUGGAGUACAGUGGCAUGAUCUUGGCUCACUGCAACCUCCGCUUCCCGGGCUCAAGCGAUUCUCCUGCCUCGGACUCUCCAGUAGCUGGGACUACAGGCAUGUGCCACCACGCUGGGCUAAUUUUUGUAUUUUUAGUAGAGAUGAGGUUUCACCAUGUUGGCCAGGCUGGUCUCAAACUCCUGAGGUCAAAUGAUCUGCCUGCCUCGGUCUCGGCCUCCGAAAGUGCUGGUAAUACAGGCAUGAGCCACGGCCCCCGGAAAAAGUGCUUAUUUUUAAUUAUGUUUAUGUUUUUAUUUUAAAUAACAGCUAAGCCAAUAACGUAACGAUUUCCUUUGUCCUUGCUAACAAGACCUGCCGAUCCACCCAUCUCUCGGCACCAGCAGUCUGGAAGAGAAAUCUCAAAUUAGUUGAGAAAAUGAGGUGGCCAAAAUUGUUCUAGCUGUCUACCUAACCUCAUUCUCCAUCAGUCUCUUCAUGGAGGAACACGUGAGGACCACACACGUUCUGGUUGCUCUGGUUCUGGGAUUAAAUGAAAAAAAAAUGUAGGGAAACUGUAAAUCCUAAUUCACCAUACAAAUGUGAGUUUAUUAUCGUACUAUUAUCAUCUGUGUGAUAUCUUGGUUUACCUUUAAGGCAGCCUGAGUUUCAAACCUGCAGUAGAAGGAGUGAAGGCUACGAUACCCUCCCGCCAUGGUCUCUCUGACAACUGCUGGGCUGAGGAGAGUCUCAGACCUCUGGCAAUAGACUGAGAUCCUAGUCUAAUCGCAGAAGGAAGGAUGCAGGCAGUGAGAAGCUGAGGGAAGAUUUGGAGCAAAGAUCGUUGGUGAAAAGGCUCAAGAGUAUCUGACCCAUUGAAGUCAUCGUUACAGGGGACGGAUGGAAAAGAAUAGCUGUAGAAUUGUAUGAAAGUCAAAAGUUCUACUAGAAUUUCUUGCCGUCUAGAAAUGCACACCAACCCACACACGCACGUGCGCACACACACUCCAUGUAAACAGUACACACAAGCAGGCACACGGAUUUUGUCAUGUGUGGGGGGCCUAUGUGUCCCCUCCCAAAUACACACUCCUGGAAGCUCACACUGUUUGCCUAGUUCCACAAGAGGUUAGAAAGGCUGCAUGGGUGUCAGCCCUGCCCUCCCCGGGCUUCCCGACAUUAAAAGCAUCAGCAAGUCCAUAAACAGGCGAAAACCCUAGAGGCUCGCCUGGGCAGCGGGGCUCGGGGCCUGCUUUUCCCACAUCGGGCGCUCACAGAUUUACUGCAGCGGGAAUGAACGUUGCUCAGAGCAUGUUUCUCACCCUCGCUAAACUAAUAUUUGGUCUCAGUCCCCUGGAACAAAACCCAGCCUCAGUGUCUGCUGAGCAGCCCUGUGCAUAACAGAAGAGUCAGGCUCGGAAUUGGAGCCAAACAGAAAGGAAAUGCAGUUCAUUUCUCUUUUUCUUGAGUUUUAAAAAUAACUCUUUGCCUUCCUAACCCCCGUCAGAUCUGACCGAGCAUGAGCCCCUCCUCACCUUCCGGAACUUCACCCCCACCCGCACCCUGCACACCCCGGGGCGGCGGUUCAGGCUUCCCCGGACAGGCGUGGCCCGGCCUCGGCGCCUUCUCCCCGGCACGAAGUCCAGGUCACUUUUCCCGAGAGACACUGGGAGCGUGCCCGCGUCCGGACGGAGCGGAGACCCACCUCGUGGGCCCAGGACUCUGCAGUCUUCCGCUGAGCUCACGCUGGGACACAGACUCGCGGAGCGUCCCCAGGUGCCCCUCACAGCGCCCGGGGCCGGGCUUCCGGAACACGCGCCCCGACCUGCUCAGGCCUGCCGGGCUCC
rnacentral:lncRNA from 1 species